UACGAAGGGGGCAAGCGUUGUCCGGAAUCAUUGGGCGUAAAGCGCGCGUAGGCGGCCCGGUAAGUCCGCUCUGAAAGUCCAGGGCUUAACCCUGGAAAGCGGGUGGAUACUGCCGGGCUUGAAUCCGGAAGAGGCGAGUGGAAUUCCUGGUGUAGCGGUGGAAUGCGCAGAUAUCAGGAGGAACACCAAUAGCGAAGGCAGCUCGCUGGGACGGUAUUGACGCUAAGGCGCGAAAGCGUGGGGAGCAAACAGG
rnacentral:rRNA from 1 species